rnacentral:rRNA from 1 species
CAUGUAGGCGGAUUAAUAAGUUUGAAGUGAAAUCCUAUAGCUUAACUAUAGAACUGCUUUGAAAACUGUUAAUCUAGAAUGUGGGAGAGGUAGAUGGAAUUUCUGGUGUAGGGUAAAUCCGUAGAGAUCAGAAGGAAUACCGAUUGCGAAGGCGAUCUACUGGAACAUUAUUGACGCUGAGAUGCGAAAGCGUGGGGAGCAAACA